CGCUCUGUGGUACCAUACACCGUUAAAAAUGGAAUUUCUAGAAUUCCCUCAUUAAAUUUGAUGUCGAGUAGAUUUUUGCUUGACCCUGGUUUAAACUUGACUCCAGCUUGGUGAAGUUCCUUUACACUGGGAAUGUUUGGAUCUUUCAACUCAAUAUGUGCACGCAACUGGGAUGGCUGAAGACAGAGUAUAAGCAGAUCAACAAAAUGUUUAGCUUUCGAAAAGUUGAUUUCUAGCAAAUUCUCCUGUAUUGGAAGAUAUCCAACAAUAUCAUCCCUGAACCAAAAACAGGUCAUUGUCAUGAAGGAAAUUUCCUCAUACAAGUUUGUUUCAAACGUUUCUGUUUUGGCUAGAUUAAACAAGUCGUUGGGAAUGAACAAUGGAAGCUGAUUUUCUAGCGGCAAAAUCUCAUGCCUCACAUCAUCAUACAAUAUGAUUUUCCUAAUAUGGGAUCCUCAUUCGUUCUGAGGUUAGGUUGAUAAUACUUCAGAAAGAGCUCAAUGAGAAACACACCAUCCACAAAAACCAUUUUUAUGAACUCAUCACUCUCAAGAUGAAUUGUUUCACCAUGAUGAAAAGGGCCUAUUGAAACAAUUCGCGGAGUAAAAUGACUUGGAUGGAAACACCGCGUGGUCUCCGGUACUCUGUAGAUGGAACACUCUCUGGCUAAAGGAUGCAAUGACCCCAUCUCCCCACUCAAAGAAUCCGCCAACUUCUCAAUAUCAAUCGAUACAUCAUAACCCUUGUUGGGGGGACUUAGCAUAAGAUUUCUAGGUAUCCAACCCAAAAGACUAGCCUUUUAGGUGGAGUGACCUACCACCUUAUAAACCCAAGCAUCUCCCCUUUACUAGCCAAUGUGGGACACAACUCAACAACCCUCAUGCUCAUGCUUUCUUGCGUCCAUCUUCUCAUUAAUUGCUGGCUGCAGUAGCAACAAAAUAAAUGAAAAAGAGUGAUGAUAGAGACACAAACUCUUGUACAAAUUUACUCUGCACAAACUGAUUUGGCAUCAACUCAUUGGUUGAAUAAAAAUACUUGAAUAAAAAUACAAUAUAAUUAAAAAAAAAAGAUGGAAUAAGAGAUAUUUAAUUCAACCAAUUAAAUCAUGCCAUAUCAAUUUAUACAAAAAAAUUUGACAUGCCUCCUUAUAAACCCAAGUAUCUCCCAAUUUUUUAGCCAGUUUAGGACACAACUCAAUACAUAUCUAUCAUAAACUUAUUAACAAUUCAAAAAUUAAGACAAGCCAAUACUCACAUUUCUAUCUUUGUUUCUUGAAUUAAUUAUGGAUGAUGAAAUCAGUAUUACAUAUGAUCGACCUUGUCGUCCGAAUAAAUCGGUCCAUAUACUUCAUAUAUAUAUAUAUAUAAUAAAUUGAUGUUGCACAUUUAUUCCUUUCUUCAGAACAUCGCAAUUCUCUUGUCUUUUAUGGAAUCUCUCUUUCAAUAAAGUCAGUAACUGUUUUCUUUCUUUACAGGUUCCCAUCUAAUAGGAUGCAUGCUUUAAGCUUCAUAAUUGAAAUCAUCAAAAAUUACAAAACAAAAAAUCAAGGACAAAGAUUGUAUUGGUUGUUAUAGUCUUAGAGAAAUCUCUUUACAUAAAAGUUUAAGUUGAUUGGUAAGAAUCAAUAAGUAUUAUAAGUUUCCUCAAGCAUUAAAACCAGAAACUGGGAUGGCUGAAGACAGAGUAUAAGCAGAUCAACAAAAUGUUUAGCUUUCGAAAAGUUGAUUUCUAGCAAAUUCUCCUGUAUUGGAAGAUAUCCAACAAUAUCAUCCCUGAACCAAAAACAGGUCAUUGUCAUGAAGGAAAUUUCCUCAUACAAGUUUGUUUCAAACGUUUCUGUUUUGGCUAGAUUAAACAAG
rnacentral:lncRNA from 1 species